rnacentral:snRNA from 1 species
GUGUUCACUUUAGCAGCACAAUUACUAAAACUGAAACAAUACAAAGAAAAUUAGCAUGGACUCUGUGCAAGGUUGACAAACACAGUUGUUAUUAAAGCAUUCUAUGUUUUU